CCUUUUAGUUUAUAAUCUGUGGCUCUGAAUACAUCAGUGGGAGGCUUUCCAGUGGAAUGAGCCGGCCUACGCUAAACGCAUGGUGCGAAACCCCCAGACAGAGGAAGACUGUCACCAGGCAACAGGACUCGAUUGGACUCCACGUUCGCUCUUGGGCCUGACAGGUGUGCCACACGAUCUAGAUGUGGGGUCCAACACCAGUCUACAGUAACCUGGGGCACUUUUGAGAUAAGGCUAGCACAAGUCAACGGACUGAGUAAAUCCAGAUGUCCUCUGUUCUCUGACGAGCGCCUUACCUGGUCAGCCCACAGCCUUGGAGAAGGAGAUGGAGGUGUCUGAGGGAGAGAGAACCCAGCCUCUGGGCUCACACUACACCACCCCAGCUCUUUGUGGUAUGCUAACACACCUCCUGUGAUUGUAACUAAACACCUGAGCUGGGAAGUUUAUAAAACAUAGAAAGCUAUUUAUCUCUGAGGAUGGGGAAGUCCAGGAACAUGGCACUGGCCGACUGCAUGGCCUCUGGCACAGAUCUUGGUGCUGCUUCAAGGAAUGGCCAAGAGCACAGGGCAAGUGAUGCUUACACAAGAUGCAAAAAAAAAAAAAAAAAAAAAGUAAGCGGUGCAUUCACAAUGAACCAGGCCCUUCAGAGCUGGUGCACGGGAGCAGCACCAACCUCCAAGUACGUGUCAUGGGGAACCAAGCCUGCAGGACAGCCUUUCAGGGGAGACUCUAUACCCAAACCGUAAACCGGGACCACGCCUUACUAUGAGUCCUCGAGAACAAUCACAUUCACAGCUUAAGACCUGGAGGCCCUGCCUGCUGAGCUGCCCUACCAGUUGGGGCUUUGUCACAGGCCACCUUCAUUGUCAACCUGACUGGUUUUGGAAUCACCUAGGAUACAGACCUCUGACGGGAAGAGCCACCCUGAAUGUGGGAAGCACAGUCUUCAUGCUAAAAUUGAAGGAAGCGUGCCGAACAACGUCCAUCCUCUCACUGCUUCUAGACCAAAUGCGACCCAACCAGCCACUUCAUGUUCGUGCUGCUGUGGUGGUCCGUAGAUCAAAUCCUGAGCCAGAAUAAAUCCCUCUCCCC
rnacentral:lncRNA from 1 species